ACUGGCGCUCAGGGCGAGGUUCUGUCAUUCGCUCCGGACUCUUCUCGUUGCUUGCAGUCAGUGCAUGACAGAACUUGACCCUGGCUGCCCCG
rnacentral:pre_miRNA from 1 species